rnacentral:rRNA from 1 species
UACGGAGGGUGCGAACGUUACUCGGAAUCACUGGGCGUAAAGCGCGCGUAGGCGGUCUGUUAAGUGGGAUGUGAAAUCCCCGGGCUUAACCUGGGAAUUGCAUUUCAAACUGGCCGACUAGAGUACGGUAGAGGGAGGUAGAAUUUCCUGUGUAGCGGUGAAAUGCGUAGAUAUAGGAAGGAAUACCAGUGGCGAAGGCGGCCUCCUGGAUCGAUACUGACGCUGAGGCGAGAAAGCGUGGGGAGAAAACAGG